AUGCAAGUCGAGCGGCAGCGGGAAGAUAGCUUGCUAUCUUUGCCGGCGAGCGGCGGACGGGUGAGUAAUGCCUAGGGAUCUGCCCAGUCGAGGGGGAUAACAGUUGGAAACGACUGCUAAUACCGCAUACGCCCUACGGGGGAAAGGAGGGGACCUUCGGGCCUUCCGCGAUUGGAUGAACCUAGGUGGGAUUAGCUAGUUGGUGAGGUAAUGGCUCACCAAGGCGACGAUCCCUAGCUGUUCUGAGAGGAUGAUCAGCCACACUGGGACUGAGACACGGCCCAGACUCCUACGGGAGGCAGCAGUGGGGAAUAUUGCACAAUGGGGGAAACCCUGAUGCAGCCAUGCCGCGUGUGUGAAGAAGGCCUUCGGGUUGUAAAGCACUUUCAGUAGGGAGGAAAGGUAGCAGCUUAAUACGCUGUUGCUGUGACGUUACCUACAGAAGAAGGACCGGCUAACUCCGUGCCAGCAGCCGCGGUAAUACGGAGGGUCCGAGCGUUAAUCGGAAUUACUGGGCGUAAAGCGUGCGCAGGCGGUUUGUUAAGCGAGAUGUGAAAGCCCCGGGCUCAACCUGGGAAUUGCAUUUCGAACUGGCGAACUAGAGUCUUGUAGAGGGGGGUAGAAUUCCAGGUGUAGCGGUGAAAUGCGUAGAGAUCUGGAGGAAUACCGGUGGCGAAGGCGGCCCCCUGGACAAAGACUGACGCUCAGGCACG
rnacentral:rRNA from 1 species